rnacentral:rRNA from 1 species
GAUGAACGCUGGCGGCGUGCCUAAUACAUGCAAGUCGAGCGAACGGACGAGAAGCUUGCUUCUCUGAUGUUAGCGGCGGACGGGUGAGUAACACGUGGAUAACCUACCUAUAAGACUGGGAUAACUUCGGAAAACCGGAGCUAAUACCGGAUAAUAUUUUGAACCGCAUGGUUCAAAAGUGAAAGACGGUCUUGCUGUCACUUAUAGAUGGAUCCGCGCUGCAUUAGCUAGUUGGUAAGGUAACGGCUUACCAAGGCAACGAUGCAUAGCCGACCUGAGAGGGUGAUCGGCCACACUGGAACUGAGACACGGUCCAGACUCCUACGGGAGGCAGCAGUAGGGAAUCUUCCGCAAUGGGCGAAAGCCUGACGGAGCAACGCCGCGUGAGUGAUGAAGGUCUUCGGAUCGUAAAACUCUGUUAUUAGGGAAGAACAUAUGUGUAGGUAACUGUGCACAUCUUGACGGUACCUAAUCAGAAAGCCACGGCUAACUACGUG